rnacentral:rRNA from 1 species
UACGGAGGGGGCUAGCGUUGUUCGGAAUUACUGGGCGUAAAGCGCACGUAGGCGGCUUGAAAAGUUGGGGGUGAAAGCCCGGAGCUCAACUCCGGAAUUGCCUUCAAAACUCUUAAGCUAGAGUUCGGAAGAGGAGAGUGGAAUUCCGAGUGUAGAGGUGAAAUUCGUAGAUAUUCGGAAGAACACCAGUGGCGAAGGCGACUACCUGGCCGUCGAUUGACGCUCAUGUGCGAAAGCGUGGGGAGCAAACAGGAUUAGAAACCCGUGUAGU